rnacentral:rRNA from 1 species
GCUAAUGCCGGAUAACAUGUUGAACCGCAUGGUUCUACAGUGAAAGGCGGCUUUGCUGUCACUUAUAGAUGGACCCGCGCCGUAUUAGCUAGUUGGUGAGGUAACGGCUCACCAAGGCAACGAUACGUAGCCGACCUGAGAGGGUGAUCGGCCACACUGGAACUGAGACACGGUCCAG